rnacentral:rRNA from 1 species
UACGUAGGGGGCAAGCGUUAUCCGGAUUUACUGGGUGUAAAGGGAGCGUAGACGGCAUAGCAAGUCUGAAGUGAAAGCCCGUGGCUCAACCGCGGAACUGCUUUGGAAACUGUUGAGCUGGAGUACUGGAGAGGCAAGCGGAAUUCCUAGUGUAGCGGUGAAAUGCGUAGAUAUUAGGAGGAACACCAGUGGCGAAGGCGGCUUGCUGGACAGAGACUGACGUUGAGGUUCGAAAGCGUGGGGAGCAAACAGG